rnacentral:rRNA from 1 species
UACGGAGGAUGCAAGCGUUAUCCGGAAUGAUUGGGCGUAAAGCGUCCGCAGGUGGCAAUGUAAGUCUGCUGUCAAAGCGUCUGGCUCAACCAGAUAAAGGCAGUGGAAACUACAUAGCUAGAGUAAGGUAGGGGUAGAGGGAAUUCCUGGUGUAGCGGUGAAAUGCGUAGAGAUCAGGAAGAACACCGGUGGCGAAAGCGCUCUGCUGGACCUUAACUGACACUGAGGGACGAAAGCCAGGGGAGCGAACGGG